ACACCGGCAGCUCUAGUGGUAACAAUUUUUAUUGGGCCUAAAGCGUCCGUAGCCGGUUUAAUAAGUCUCUGGUGAAAUCCUGUAGCUUAACUGUGGGAAUUGCUGGAGAUACUAUUAGACUUGAGACCGGGAGAGGUUAGAGGUACUCCCAGGGUAGAGGUGAAAUUCUGUAAUCCUGGGAGGACCGCCUGUUGCGAAGGCGGCUAACUGGAACGGGUCUGACGGUGAGGGACGAAAGUCAGGGGCGCGAACCGGAUUAGAUACCCGGGUAGUCCUAACUGUAAACGAUGCGGACUUGGUGUUGGGGUGGCUUUGAGCUGCUCCAGUGCCGAAGGGAAGCUGUUAAGUCCGCCGCCUGGGAAGUACGGUCGCAAGACUGAAACUUAAAUGAAUUGGCGGGG
rnacentral:rRNA from 1 species